GAUCUGACUGCAAAAGAGUGUCAAGAACUGGAAACAUCCAAGGAAGAAAACAGAAGCUGCCGGCUGACAUUCAGAGGCUGAAGGAUGAGAUAACAGAAAUAGCUAACGAAAAUGAAAAUCUAUGAUCCACAGAAGAAAGGAAAAACAAGCAGAGGAACAAACAGGUAGCCAUAGGCAGGGAAAAAAGAAGUAAUAUGGACCUUAAAAAGAGGAUU
rnacentral:lncRNA from 1 species